AAUCUUCAGGGCGGGGUGAGAGUCCCCACCGGCGGUACAGCCCGCGAGCAGUGUUUUGCUGCAUGAUCCGGUGAGAUUCCGGAGCCGACAGUAUAGUCUGGAUGGAAGAAGAUG
rnacentral:ncRNA from 1 species